rnacentral:hammerhead_ribozyme from 1 species
AUCCAGCCGACGAGUCCCAAAUAGGACGACAUGCGCAUUUUGGAU